rnacentral:tmRNA from 1 species
GGGGUAGUAAAGGUUUCGACAGGGGUCUUGCAGCUGGAGAAGCUAUCCGUUGCGACACGUUAAUCGCGAUGCGGGCUGUGCCCGCGACUUAAACUAAACGCUGAAGAUAAUAAUCAGUUAGCAUUCGCAGCUUAAUCUGAUUCGUCAGAUUAACUGUGGGUGACGCUGCCUCAGGCAGCUUGUCCGCUCCGGGGCACUCACACUCCGGAAUCCGGGCAUCGACUCUGUGAGAAACGACGCAUGUUAAGCUUUGCGCAUGCGGGCGUAUCAUGAAGCUACCGGGCAGUCUGGAGAGUCUGUUCUCCCGGCUGUGAGGGAAGAGGGCGGAGCGAAUCCGCCCAAAACAACAGACUAUGAUAGUAGAAGGACAGGGAAUGGGCUUUUGGACAUGGGUUCGACUCCCAUCUACUCCACUG